rnacentral:rRNA from 1 species
CAGUAGCCGCGGUAAUACGAAGGGGGCUAGCGUUGUUCGGAUUUACUGGGCGUAAAGCGCACGUAGGCGGACUUUUAAGCCAGGGGUGAAAUCCCGGGGCUCAACCCCGGAACUGCCUUUGAUACUGGAAGUCUUGAGUAUGGUAGAGGUGAGUGGAAUUCCGAGUGUAGAGGUGAAAUUCGUAGAUAUUCGGAAGAACACCAGUGGCGAAAGCACUCUGCUGGGCCGACACUGACACUGAGAGACGAAAGCUAGGGGAGCAAAUGGGAUUAGAUACCCCUGUAGUCCCUGUCUCUUAUAC